GAUGAACGCUAGCGGCAGGCUUAACACAUGCAAGUCGAGGGGCAGCAUGAGGCGGAGAUUCGUCGAAGUCUUGAUGGCGACCGGCGCAAGGGUGCGUAACGCGUGAGCAACUUGCCCGUUUCUGGGGAAUAACCGGUGGAAACGCCGACUAAUACCCCAUAGCAUAUUUAGGAGGCAUCUCUUGAAUAUUAAAGAAUUUCGGAAACGGAUAGGCUCGCGUGACAUUAGCUAGAUGGCGGGGUAACGGCCCACCAUGGCGACGAUGUCUAGGGGUUCUGAGAGGAACGGUCCCCCACACUGGAACUGAGACACGGUCCAGACUCCUACGGGAGCAGCAGUGAGGAAUAUUGGUCAAUGGUCUGACGGCUGAACCAGCCAUGCCGCGUGAAGGUGAC
rnacentral:rRNA from 1 species